rnacentral:rRNA from 1 species
UACGUAGGGUGCAAGCGUUAAUCGGAAUUACUGGGCGUAAAGCGUGCGCAGCGGUUCGGAAAGAGAGGUGUGAAAUCCCAGGGCUUAACCUUGGAACUGCACUUCUAACUACCGGGCUAGAGUACGUCAGAGGGGGGUAGAAUUCCACGUGUAGCAGUGAAAUGCGUAGAGAUGUGGAGGAAUACCGAUGGCGAAGGCAGCCCCCUGGGAUGAUACUGACGCUCAUGCACGAAAGCGUGGGGAGCAAACAGG